GAUGAACGCUGGCGGCGUGCCUAAUACAUGCAAGUCGAGCGAACAGACGAGGAGCUUGCUCCUCUGACGUUAGCGGCGGACGGGUGAGUAACACGUGGAUAACCUACCUAUAAGACUGGGAUAACUUCGGGAAACCGGAGCUAAUACCGGAUAAUAUAUUGAACCGCAUGGUUCAAUAGUGAAAGACGGUUUUGCUGUCACUUAUAGAUGGAUCCGCGCCGCAUUAGCUAGUUGGUAAGGUAACGGCUUACCAAGGCGACGAUGCGUAGCCGACCUGAGAGGGUGAUCCGCCACACUGGAACUGAGACACGUCCCAGACUCCUACGGGAGGCAGCAGUAGGGAAUCUUCCGCAAUGGACGAGAGCCUGACGGUGCAACGCCGCGUGAGUGAUGAAGGUCUUCGGAUCGGAAAACUCUGUUAUUAGGGAAGAACAAAUGUGUAAGUAACUAUGCACGUCUUGACGGUACCUAAUCAGAAAGCCACGGCUAACUACGUG
rnacentral:rRNA from 1 species